GGGUUGUGAGGUUAAGCGACUAAGCGUACACGGUGGAUGCCCUGGCAGUCAGAGGCGAUGAAGGGCGUGCUAAUCUGCGAUAAGCGCCGGUAAGGUGAUAUGAACCGUUAUAACCGGCGAUACCCGAAUGGGGAAACCCAGUGUGAUUCGUCACACUAUCAUUAACUGAAUCCAUAGGUUAAUGAGGCGAACCGGGGGAACUGAAACAUCUAAGUACCCCGAGGAAAAGAAAUCAACCGAGAUUCCCCCAGUAGCGGCGAGCGAACGGGGAGGAGCCCAGAGCCUGAAUCAGCAUGUGUGUUAGUGGAAGCGUCUGGAAAGGCGCGCGAUACAGGGUGACAGCCCCGUACACAAAAGCGCAUGUGCUGUGAGCUCGAUGAGUAGGGCGGGACACGUGGUAUCCUGUCUGAAUAUGGGGGGACCAUCCUCCAAGGCUAAAUACUCCUGACUGACCGAUAGUGAACCAGUACCGUGAGGGAAAGGCGAAAAGAACCCCGGCGAGGGGAGUGAAAAAGAACCUGAAACCGUGUACGUACAAGCAGUGGGAGCNNNNNNNNNNNNNNNNNNNNNNNNNNNNNNNNNNNNNNGGGCGUUAAGUUGCAGGGUAUAGACCCGAAACCCGGUGAUCUAGCCAUGGGCAGGUUGAAGGUUGGGUAACACUAACUGGAGGACCGAACCGACUAAUGUUGAAAAAUUAGCGGAUGACCUGUGGCUGGGGGUGAAAGGCCAAUCAAACCGGGAGAUAGCUGGUUCUCCCCGAAAGCUAUUUAGGUAGCGCCUCGUGAAUUCAUCUCCGGGGGUAGAGCACUGUUUCGGCUAGGGGGCCAUCCCGGCUUACCAACCCGAUGCAAACUGCGAAUACCGGAGAAUGUUAUCACGGGAGACACACGGCGGGUGCUAACGUCCGUCGUGAAGAGGGAAACAACCCAGACCGCCAGCUAAGGUCCCAAAGUCAUGGUUAAGUGGGAAACGAUGUGGGAAGGCCCAGACAGCCAGGAUGUUGGCUUAGAAGCAGCCAUCAUUUAAAGAAAGCGUAAUAGCUCACUGGUCGAGUCGGCCUGCGCGGAAGAUGUAACGGGGCUAAACCAUGCACCGAAGCUGCGGCAGCGACACUGUGUGUUGUUGGGUAGGGGAGCGUUCUGUAAGCCUGUGAAGGUGUGUCGUGAGGCAUGCUGGAGGUAUCAGAAGUGCGAAUGCUGACAUAAGUAACGAUAAAGCGGGUGAAAAGCCCGCUCGCCGGAAGACCAAGGGUUCCUGUCCAACGUUAAUCGGGGCAGGGUGAGUCGACCCCUAAGGCGAGGCCGAAAGGCGUAGUCGAUGGGAAACGGGUUAAUAUUCCCGUACUUGGUGUUACUGCGAAGGGGGGACGGAGAAGGCUAUGUUGGCCGGGCGACGGUUGUCCCGGUUUAAGCGUGUAGGUGUGUGUUCCAGGUAAAUCCGGUUCACUUUAACACUGAGGCGUGACGACGAGGCACUACGGUGCUGAAGCAACAAAUGCCCUGCUUCCAGGAAAAGCCUCUAAGCAUCAGGUAACAUCAAAUCGUACCCCAAACCGACACAGGUGGUCAGGUAGAGAAUACCAAGGCGCUUGAGAGAACUCGGGUGAAGGAACUAGGCAAAAUGGUGCCGUAACUUCGGGAGAAGGCACGCUGACACGUAGGUGAAGUGAUUUACUCAUGGAGCUGAAGUCAGUCGAAGAUACCAGCUGGCUGCAACUGUUUAUUAAAAACACAGCACUGUGCAAACACGAAAGUGGACGUAUACGGUGUGACGCCUGCCCGGUGCCGGAAGGUUAAUUGAUGGGGUCAGCGCAAGCGAAGCUCCUGAUCGAAGCCCCGGUAAACGGCGGCCGUAACUAUAACGGUCCUAAGGUAGCGAAAUUCCUUGUCGGGUAAGUUCCGACCUGCACGAAUGGCGUAAUGAUGGCCAGGCUGUCUCCACCCGAGACUCAGUGAAAUUGAACUCGCUGUGAAGAUGCAGUGUACCCGCGGCAAGACGGAAAGACCCCGUGAACCUUUACUAUAGCUUGACACUGAACAUUGAGCCUUGAUGUGUAGGAUAGGUGGGAGGCUUUGAAGUGUGGACGCCAGUCUGCAUGGAGCCGACCUUGAAAUACCACCCUUUAAUGUUUGAUGUUCUAACGUGGACCCGUUACCCGGGUUGCGGACAGUGUCUGGUGGGUAGUUUGACUGGGGCGGUCUCCUCCUAAAGAGUAACGGAGGAGCACGAAGGUUGGCUAAUCCUGGUCGGACAUCAGGAGGUUAGUGCAAUGGCAUAAGCCAGCUUGACUGCGAGCGUGACGGCGCGAGCAGGUGCGAAAGCAGGUCAUAGUGAUCCGGUGGUUCUGAAUGGAAGGGCCAUCGCUCAACGGAUAAAAGGUACUCCGGGGAUAACAGGCUGAUACCGCCCAAGAGUUCAUAUCGACGGCGGUGUUUGGCACCUCGAUGUCGGCUCAUCACAUCCUGGGGCUGAAGUAGGUCCCAAGGGUAUGGCUGUUCGCCAUUUAAAGUGGUACGCGAGCUGGGUUUAGAACGUCGUGAGACAGUUCGGUCCCUAUCUGCCGUGGGCGCUGGAGAACUGAGGGGGGCUGCUCCUAGUACGAGAGGACCGGAGUGGACGCAUCACUGGUGUUCGGGUUGUCAUGCCAAUGGCACUGCCCGGUAGCUAAAUGCGGAAGAGAUAAGUGCUGAAAGCAUCUAAGCACGAAACUUGCCCCGAGAUGAGUUCUCCCUGAGACUUAGAGUCUCCUGAAGGAACGUUGAAGACGACGACGUUGAUAGGCCGGGUGUGUAAGCGCAGCGAUGCGUUGAGCUAACCGGUACUAAUGAACCGUGAGGCUUAACCUUACAACGCCGAAG
rnacentral:rRNA from 1 species